GAUGAAGAACGUAGUGAAAUGCGAUAAGUAAUGCGAAUUGCAGAAUUUCCGUGAGUCAUCGAAUCUUUGAACGCACAUUGCGCCCACUGGUAUUCCGGUGGGCAUGCCUGUUCGAGCGUCAUUAUCCUCCCUCAAACCUCUGUGUUUGGUGUUGGGCCGCGUUGGCGUCACAGCCAACUGGUCUCAAAGACAAUGACGGCGUCCGUGGGACCCUCUUCGCAACGAGCAUCUUCGGAAGCACGCGUCGAGUCUAAAGGACCUUCCGGGCCGGUCUACCCUUUAUCUUUACAAGGUUGACCUCGGAUCAGGUAGGAAUACCCGCUGAACUUAAGCAUAUCAAUAAGCGGAGGA
rnacentral:misc_RNA from 1 species